GUUUAAAAACCUACAAAGUCGGAUCAUUGGUGGAUAUGCAGUGUGGUUUCAUUUUCACUUCUGGUCUGCUGCUAAUCAUUUGUAGAAACGGCUACAAGAAGUGUGUAAGAAGAAAAACUGGGUGAGAUGGAAGCAUAGAAAACUUCCUUAGUCCUCCCAAGUUGGGGAAGUAUUGGCUGCCGAACAAAAUGCCAGCCAGAAAGGAAUUUAUGAAAUAUUGGAAAAAUAAUUCUAAUGUGUUGUCUCUACCGCUUAGUGCCAUGAUUCUGCUCAUAGUUGAAGAAAUAAUGGAGACUGAAUUUAAAUGCCCUCGAUGGACAACAUUAAAGAUUUUAUAUGUUCUUACCUAUUUUUUGUGUCCAGCUUUAAUUACACUUGGCCUGAGCUUGUCGUCCCAGCCCACCUGCAUUCUCUGGUUUCGCAGCUUUGGGAAAUGUUCGUACCGACAGAAGGGUGAGAUGCUUUGCAAGGUAUUUCUUCCUCCUCUGAUCUGGAUUGUGAUCCUGCUGUGGGAUGGCAGAUACAUUGAAUGUAUAGUUUCAAGAAGUGAAGUGGACAGCAAUCAAAAUGCAAACCAAACCAGAGCAGCAGAAUCAAUCACUGAAUUCUAUUCAUAUUCUCAGAUUUCAGGACUCCUCAUUCUUACAUUUAUCGUCAUUGUUUAUAGCCUGUUCCACACAUAUCCCUUCUGGUGCUGCUGUAAAAGUGAAGAAGAAUGUAGGAAAGAGGAGCUGAAGAACAUUUUAGAAGAAAAAAUACGGAAACAUGUUCAAGAAUUGCAGAAUGAAAGUAUAGAGCGGACAAUGGAAGAGGAAGUGAAACCUCUUCUGCAGAAUGUUCCUAAAAACUUCUGGAGAGAUGUAGAUUUUAAAACAGCAAUAUUAAAAAUAAAGGAGACUUUAAGGAAUGUGUUUAGAUAUACAAAUAUUGGAACACAAGAACCAACUAAACCAUGUGUUUGCAUUUAAAAUGUGCCUCCAUCAUCGGGCCCUGAUGUGCACCUGUCCUGUGUUUGGCUGGGACAGAGUUAAUUUUCUUCCUAGCAUCUGGGAUGUUUACGUGUUUUGGGUUUAAGGUGAGAAUAAUGCUGAGAACACACCGAUGUUGUAGCUGUUGCAGAGCAGUGCUUACACUGAGCCAAGGACUUUUCAGCUUCUCACACUGCCCUGCCAGCGGGCAGGCUGGGGUUGCACAAGGAGCUUUGUGCAUUGUUUCAUUUAUAUAUUCUUUUAUUAUGCUGAUUAUAGUUAUUUUCCCUUCCUUUUCUGUCCUAUUAAGCUGUCUUUAUCUCAAAACAUGUUUUUUUAAAAAAUAUAUAUAUUUCUUCUGUUGUGUGUGUGUAUGUGCAUUUCUCUCCCCCAUCUCACUGGCUUGGGGCAGACGGGUGAAGGGAGGGGGCCAAUGAACAGUUGUGUUUCUUAGCUAGCUGUUGUGUUAAACCACAGAACAAAGUCAGAGAUGUGUGUUCAUCAUGUAAUCAAAACCACAUCUGCAGUGCACACGCCUAUUGGAACACACAUGCGAGCACAUCCCUGCGGCCACACUUGUCCCUGUAGGUCCAAAUGUGCAUCUGUGUGGGUGCAUGGAAGAGCACCCUGUGUCUUUAUUGUGCGAUUUAGGUACACGCAUCCCCCACUGAGCACAGGGAGAUGUUUUAACUCGGUAAAGAAACAUCAAUACACUCACACUAUGAUUUGGUAAAUGUGAUAUAUUUUAGGUCUUAAUGUAUUGCAAAUAGAGAAAUGAGUCCUACAUCGUCGUGGCUAGACACACACAGCCCUUCCCUGUGACAGCAAACUCCAAAGAAGCACAAAGUGCAACCCCCAGCCCCUCCUUAAGCCUGCACGAGCCCUCUGCAAGAGAGCAAAGGCAGCUGUGGACAAGGCUCCUGUACCCUUGCCCUGUGGCAGCGCUAUCGGAUCUGGGUGCGGAUCACCGUGGCAUACGUUGUGGUGUCGCUCAUCUGCUGCACAGGACGAGGCUUUAGGGGGAAAAGAAACCCUGUUACUUCAGCUGCUGACUGUGAGCCCUGCACAAUGAGCAGGCACCAGGCUGCAGGAGUGCAGAAAGGAGCUGUGCACAGCUGUGCCACGACUCACCCUGUCCCGUCGAACGUGGGCGAUGGUGGAGUCUGUGGGGGCAAAAAAACCACACCAUGAGCCCUUGCUGCCUGUUGGUGGGGAAUGAACCCCCACAAGCUUUGGGCAUCAGCUACCCGGGUUUAGCACACAAUGCCCGGUCCCAUUUCCCCUCCCAUCACCCUGAACUGGGAUGAGCAUUAAACAGCAGCGAUGGAGCAGAGAUGCUGAGGUUUUGGUGUGUUUCCACCAUUCUGUGGCAUCUCCUCUCUCUGCACAGCCAGCACACCUUGCGAGCUGCUCUGUGCAGGCGUGGGAAAACAAGGUCAUGCUGUAACACAAGCACAGUGCACGUAGGGUGGGGAUAUAUUUAUAUCCUGUCGCUCAACCACAACAUCCUCCCUCGGCUGCUGGCUGUGGUUUCAGAGCAAGCUAUAAGAUAUUUUCCCCAGCAGUGCAAGGAAACAGAGCCACAUCCUUCAUUGCUGCGCUGUGCUUUGGGCUGCUCUUGUAAAAAAGAAAUCCUUGUGACGGAAAAUAUAAGAAGAGAGAAAAGUGUUGGCAGGAGGAGGGGAAUUGCAGCGUGAGGCUGGAGCUGGUGUGGAAGGAGCCCCCCAAGCAAAGGGGCUUUGUCCCUGGGAGCACUGGGAUGCUGCCAUGUCCCUUGUGCAGCCAGCAGCCGUGCUCUGCAUGCAAGGAAGAAGCAGGACGUGAGGUGCUGGAGAGAAACCUGGCCUUGAUGAACGAGCAGGGAUUUUGUAUGUCCCAGUGGGAAAUGAAGUGGUGGGAUUGCAUGGGGGCUCGCACAGGAUUCUCAUGUGGAGAGGAGCAUGUGGCU
rnacentral:lncRNA from 1 species